GGCUGGUCUAAGAAUUAAAUUUACAUGAGACCAAUUAACAGGAGAAAAUAAAACAGAAGUCUAAUAAUACGUUUAUGUGGGAAAGACCCAGGAAAACUGCAUAUUAGUAUCUCACCAGAAUGGUCAAAACCCUCACUUUGAGUAACAUCUUCAACUAAAGACAAAAGAGGAAUUUAGGGAGCAGUGGUUUGGAACUUCAGAGGGAAGGAAGACAAUUCAGUCGGAGAUGGAAAAGCAAAUAUUUGGCAGGGCUUCCCUGGUGGCGCCCUGGAUAAGAAUCCAUCUGCCAGUGCAGGGGGACAUGGAUUUGAUCCUUGGUUCCAGAAGAUUCCACAUGCUGUGGAGCAACUAAGCCCAUGCGCCACAACUACUGAGUCGAGCCUGUUUUCUGCAAAAGGAAAAGCCAGUGCAACGAGGAGCCAGGGCGCUGCAAGGAGGAGUAGCACCCCUCCCUCCCCCACCACUGCUGGCUGCAACUAGAGAAAACCCACGAAAAGCAACAAAUACCCAGCUCAACCAAAAAAUAAAUAUAGACACUUUUUGGCAGCUAAGGGGGAGGUAAAAAGGUGCAAAGAGCUGGUUCAUUGGAAAAGACCCUGAUGCUGGGAAACAUUGAAGGCAAAAGGAGAAGGGGGUGGCACAGGAUGAGAUGGCAUCACUGACUCGAUGGACAUGAAUUUUGAACAGACUAAAGGAGACAGUGGAGGACAGAGGAGCUGGCGUGCUGCAGAUCAUGGGAUCUCUAGUUGAACACGACCUAGUGACUGAAGAACAACAACAAGAAAGAAAGACUUCCUGAAUCUUAUGUUUCUUAAAAUUAAAUGAAUCUUCAAGCCAAAGGGACUCAUUUUGGGGUGGCAAAGUUUGCUUUCAAACAUCACCAUCCCCAAUUAUGUGUUUAUGAUUCUCUUGGUUAAAAAAGAUAAUUUUGAUCACCUAUAUACAUAUUCCUAAGCAAUAUGUUAUUUAGUAUUGCAUGUUCUUGCACUUUAAGUAAACAGUACCGUAAUGCAG
ensembl:lncRNA